UACAGAGGGGGCAAGCGUUGUUCGGAAUUACUGGGCGUAAAGGGCGCGUAGGCGGCCUGUUAAGUCGAACGUGAAAUCCCCGGGCUCAACCCGGGAACUGCGUCCGAUACUGGCAGGCUUGAAUCCGGGAGAGGGAUGCGGAAUUCCAGGUGUAGCGGUGAAAUGCGUAGAUAUCUGGAGGAACACCGGUCGGCGAAGGCGGCGAUGCCUAGGCCGGCA
rnacentral:rRNA from 1 species